rnacentral:lncRNA from 1 species
GCUGCUGAAGAAGAAAGUGGAACUCUUGGUGGUUAAUAGUCAGAUGUUUGAAACUGCAAAACUCACGAAACAUCAACAAAUUUUCAAGAGAAAAAACUGAAAUACUAAGGAAAAAAGAAGUUGAGAACACCGGCUCAUGAGAGACUCUGUGAGGUUUUGGAGGUUAUGUUUUAGUCAAACCCAAGUCAAACCAAAACAAACAAAACAUCACGACGGGACGGUGGCCGAAAGCCGAGAGGAAAACGUGAAAUUAUUAGAUUAAUUUAAAGUGUGUCGUAAAUAAAAGUAAUUGUGGAACCUCAAGCUCAAUAAAAAGCUGCAGGUAGUAAAACGAACAAAGUUCUACAGUGAAAUUAUUUUAAGUUUUUCGCAGCUUUCAUAUGAGGCAACAGUCUCAUUGUCACUUGUUCACCUAAGUAAGAACAUACCUGUAUUCGACCUUUGAGUAAUGGCGGAAUGCAAUGACAUUUAUAAUGAAAUCGACAACUUAUAUGCUUCUGUUCAAGACUUACAUCACCAAGAGUCAUUUUCAGAUACCCCAGAUCCACAGCAUCCCCACUUGGUUCCUACUCUGAAACCUUAUCAGUGCAAAGCCGUACGAUGGAUGUUGUCAAGAGAAUCAAACAAAGUAACCAUAGAUGGUAUCUUGUCCUCUGGGUCGACUGAAUUGCCUACCGGCGGUAUCUUAGCAGACGAAAUGGGACUAGGAAAGACUGUGGAGGUCAUUGCUUGUAUGCUUCUGAAUCCUCGGACGAGUUUUGAUGAGGUGAAGUAUCCAUUUGUAAUGACUAAGUAUCUUCAGAAGUAUCUCUAUGUCUACAGUGACAAGCCCAAAGUAUGUCUCAGAUACGCUCAAGAUG